GGCAGCCCAUCCUCAAGCCAGGAGGAGAGGCCCCAGCAGACACCAACCCUGACAGAACCUUGACCUGGGACACCCAGCCUGCAGAACCGUGAGAAGAAAAGGGCAAUGUGAUGCCUGGAUUUGUGGCAGCCAUCUUGGCAUCAUGAGGGGAGUCAACUCAAGACCACAAGCUAAGAUCCAUUGAUGGCAGAGUGGGAAGAAGAAAGAUUCUGGGGACUUAACAACAUUGUUGAGCUACUACUGAUUAACCAACCUUGGAACCAACCUAUCUGCCAACUUCUUAUGUGAGAUAAUUCAUAGCUGUGGUUGUUCGAGCCACUUUUAAUUGGUUCUUCAUCUUCCACAACUGAAAGCAUCCUGAUCCAGGAGACAUACCAUAAAUAUCUGUUAACUUACUGACUGAUGAAACCUUCCUUAAGUCAUGUCAUAUUGGUGAACUAAAGCUCUAAAUGUUGACCAGUAGUGGCAGCAAAUUCUGGUAGGAAAAAAAAAAAAGCAUUAUUAAAGCACUCAGGUAAAUGGAAUGUUUUUUAUGUUGUUUUAAGUCUUGACUUUGGUGGUGAGGUUGAUGGGUGAGGAAAUUCUGAACCCUGGAAAAAUCACAUUAAGAGAAAAUUUUGCAAAACUUUUUAUUGUCACUCUUUAGUUGAAUUAUAGAUUUAAAGUGGCCAGUGCUCAAAAUACUGCACUUGACUAAGGUGGCCCCAAAAGGUGAGUUUUGCACUGGCUGGUGCUGAGGGAGAAUGUGGACUUGAGCGCCAGUCUGCGGCCGAGGGCUGCUGAGGCCCCUGGUCACUUGCAGAGCUGCCACUCAUGGAACUAUGUGACAGGUACCAUUAAUGGGGAUGUAUUUCCAUCAGGUGACUUUGGGACCAGCCCAGAGAAGCAGCCCAUUUUUAUUCUCUUUCCAUAUUCUCAGGUGUUCCUUACCUGACUGCAUAACCUGCAUGAGUUUGGAGGACCACAACACUGUCCCAAGAAGGAAAGCAGGACCUGAUAUGAGGCAGAGCGUUUGCUUCCAUCUGUUCUGGUCGACAGAAGGACCUUUGGUGAUCGGUCAGUUGGAUGCUCUGCUUCCUCACCUGGGGUACUGCAGGGACCUCACGUCUUGGUAGUUUUCUAGUUUUGCCUUCUUCCAGCCUAUGCCCUACGCCGGUACCCAGAGUUGAUGGCGGUACUUCUCUGCUUACAGUCCUUUAGUGGCACCUCUUCCUCUACAGAUACGUGCGAGCUCCUUGGUCUGUCAUGUGAGGCCCGGCUCCCUCUGGACUCUGCACUCCUCUCCAGCCUCUUCUCUCCCUCUCAUCUCCCAUAGGAAAAAGCCUACCCACAUCAAACUCCCCGUAGCUUCUAAAGCAGGGUGCAUUCCUGGUACCUCCUCAGCGCCCUUCCCCACACCCCCUGGACUCCCUCUCCACCUUGCCCUCCCUGCACACUUCACCUCCCUUUUUGAGACACAUCUCUGAUGUACUCUGGGAAGCCUUCCCGGAUCCCCUGGUGCAGCGUUAGAGUCGCCCUUUCCUCUGCUCUUCAUCCUCUUCAUCACCACAUCACACCCAUCACCCGGUCAUUGGCUGGUUUCUCGCCUCUCCCACCGCCGCACUACAUUCUGAGCAUCUUGUGGUCAGGACUUGGUCCUGCCCAUCUUUGUCAUCCGUGUCCAGGGCUUAGCACACACUAAGUGCAUACCAGUCACUUUUGGGUUCGAAUUGAAGUAAAUCAAAAUGAAACAGAAGAGUAGGAAGAAACACCUGCAGUAAUUUCUGAGGGGACCAGGUUCGUUGUAGGCAUCUUCUCUUUGUCAGGAUCCUGGGAACUGAGAAAAUGAACCAGACAUUAACUCCUUUGCUGGUGAGUGCCUAGGAGUAGAUACGGAACAGAGAGAGAAUUGGGCAGGUUGAGGCGCCACUGACGGACCCCAAAAUCAUCCCCUGCACUGUCACUCUCUCAUCUUUUGUCCUCAUUCAGACUCUUACAAUAUUUACUCAAGUUUACAGUUACUUAUUAAAGCUUAGAUAGGUUAAUUCUUUUCAUUUCAUCCUCUCUUUACUUCAGAAUUUAGAGACAGACCUAUGGGGCCAUGAAAUUGCACAAUCUCCGAAGGAUUCUAAGUCCUUGACUCAUUGUGAGACCAGAACAUUCCUUAUUCUUUUACGUAGGGUUUCCUCCAUCCCCAUCUGGGAAAUUACCAUCUGCUUCUGAUAGCUCUCCCCAACUUCCUUUGUGAAUGAAAGGGCAAAGUUUUGACUCAAUAAUUUUAGCAAUAUCUAACUCCCCUGUUGAUGAAUAAAUCAUUUUCUGCUUUC